CUUAGCUCUUGGCCGGUGGAGGCAUCACCUCUCUCGGCUAGCUUUUUUAUAAUGUCGCCUGCGGAAAAAAACCCAACCUGUCCACAGACUCGGUGUCUUAAUACUCACCUUCAUACAGAGGAACAGCCUCACUUCUCCAUAUUUGCCACAGUGUUUUCGAACAUGUCACAGCAGUAAAUCUCGCAGCUCAUGCUCUGCAUUCCGGAGAGAUUUCUUCUCAAGAGCUGCUGCUCUCUCGGUCGCUCUAUAGUCUCUAUAGAGACUUCGUAAUUAUAGCGUCGGCUGUUUUGACGAUUAGGCUGGAUUUGCCUCACACUAGUCCAGGCUAUGUUAACCGUGUGUAUACUGAAUCGAGACUCAAACAGGCUCGAUUUCCCCGGGCGGGAGCCGCGUAUCUGUGCGUGUUCCUGGUGGGGCUGACGGGGAGGCGGCGGCAGAGUAAAGCGGGCUGGAAAAGACCAACUCUGAUGCUGCGUGGAGCAAAAACAGAGGAAGCCCGAUGAAUAAUGAUGCGUGAAUUUUGCGAGAAAAAUGAGGGAGAAAAAAGCGUUUUACCAAAUAAAUCCAAGAAGGAGAUUCCACUCUGUUUAUGUGCAUGCUUGUGGUUCGGAACAGCAGGUCUAAAUUCAUCCUAAUCAGCAAACAUUCGGAUGUGUUGACAGCAUGGAGAGAUUAAAUUAGCAGCUGCAGCGCCGGGAACAUUGAAUCAUAUUAAGGAUCAGCAGCAGAGGAGCGGAGGAAGAGGAGAGGCUGUACCUGCAGGCCUCUGCUUUCAGGAACCCGGUACCGCAAAACAUCAGGACAUCCACUAAAUAGCCCACAGAAAACCUCUCACCCAGGGCAGGGAAGUUUAAACAAAUACGCUUUAUUCUUAUUUCGAUUCUUAUGAAAACACCUGGAGAAUGAAAACGUUAAAACAGCCUGAAAAUCACUUAAAACGCGACAGAAACAGCGAAGCUGCAGUAAAUUAAAAUCACGCCUGAACGACAGAUAUCCGAAAUAUCGGUUUUUUUUUUUAACCUCUUGAAAGAUCGAAUUACGCAACAGAGACACGUCACGUCUGAUCACACGCACUGCAUAUGAAUGACUCGGUCUGAAUGAAACGAACCUGAAAAGUUCUGAAUGGAUGGCACUGCUGUCCCUCCUGCGGUCCCGCAGUGACGCUGUCACAGCGUGACGCUGGUCUCAAAGGGUGGCACGACAGGAGCCCGCAGGAACACCGAGUCCAGACUUUUCACACAGUUUCAUUUCAGCGUUGCUUCAUUUGAAUUUUCUAAUAUUUAUCCAGCUGACAGAAAUUAUUAGAUCUAAGCCAGAAAACGAGGUUUCACACAGCUGCGCUGUUCAGCAUCAGGGUUCUAACAUAUGGUUUGAUGGGCCUGAAUUAAUCACUUGUUGCACACUAGUUAAAAUCAGCAGCCUGUUUUCUCCACAAUACUUCGGAAACAGCUCCGGUGUAUUUUUAACAUCACGGAAUUCAGUCAAAAUAAGAACAAAAAAAAGAAAAAACAAGAACGAAACUUUAAACAUAAAAACAUCUCAUUUUCGUCCCUAAAGCACAGCCUGGAUGUUUCAGUGUGAGCGGAGUCUUCCUCUGCUCAGUCCACCGCGCACUUUUUUUCAACCCUGUGCAGCUAAAUGGAGCGCUUACUGAAUGUCUCCAAAAACAUAUUUAGAAAAGAAAUAAAAAUAAUACUCUGCAGAAUGUGCGUUUACAGCCCUCUCUACAGCUCUGCAUGCAUGUGUGUUUUGAAUCCACGUCUCUUUAAGUCCCGUCUUAACGCAAAAUUCAGUGUGUAUCGUUUAAAAAACUAGUCGAGUUCGUUUUUAUUGAGGACGUAGAAUCCACGCCAAUACUGAAUUGCCGAACAGUUGAUUUGUAAUUUAGAGUCACCGUCGGGAGCCAAUUUACACUCUCCAACUGCACAGCCAUACACGAAAGAACAGCACUGUGUUGGUUUGUAGCUGAAGUGAAAUGCUGAAGCCAGCUGGGAGUUCGUGGUGGUAAAAACUCAAGCAGAGAGACGGUCAUGGGUUCAAAUCUAAUUUGCCUUGUGCGCAACACAAACUUGGGAAAAGCUGCUGAGUAGCAACAGAACUCGCGGCCCAAUGCUUUGCCUAGAAGGGAGCUUGUUACUGCGCACACUCGCUGUGUAACAGGCCUUCCUCCAAGAGUGAAACUGUGAGCUGCGAGGAACAUUGCACACUUCAGAGAAGGCCAGCAGACCUCUUGCUCUUUAUUCUGAAAAUUAUAUUUUGAACUGCAGCUGGCAACAAGCAAGUUUAUUGAUAACCCUAAAUGGAAAGUGGUGCACAGUUGUGCAACCGCAUCAAUUGUUGGCACUUGGCCUAAAGAAUAACAAACUAACAACAUCUCUGAUGACCAUAACGAUGCCGGGAUGAUUCUGGGAAACUGUUCAGUGGAGCUGGACACUGAUCUCACCAAAAACCUGCAGGACUCUUCUUAUAUUCUGCUGCCGGCUGCUGACCCGAUUAGUUAAUACUGUCACAGUCCUGCUGAAUAUUCACAAGUUUUCUUCUCUAAUCACACAUUUCCAAGCAGGAGCUCUGGUCAGAAUCAAGAAAUUUCAAAGUUUGAGCAGUUUAUAUGUCAGGGAGCCAACUGUGUCAUCUUCACUGACUGAAAUCAGGGAGCAGAUUUAGGAGCUCAGUAACAGCACACAUGUUCCUCUGAGUUCAUGUAAACAGAGCUGCUCAAGUUCAGUGAUUCAGAAUUUCUUUCCUUGCACUCCCACGUCACUGCCCACUUGUUAGAAAUCAAUAAUUGUUUACAUUUAAAACAUUUUAGGGAUUUUGGUGCGUGUGGAACUUUUGUUACACUUCACAUGUGUCUGUGGUGGUGACGGACACUUCCUCUGUAUUAAAAUGUGCACCUCUGAAGAUAUUUCAUAAUGUAAAGUGUUUGCAAAAACAUGAUAAAAUAAAAUGACUUUCAUUUGCAAACUGCUGUGUCUUUUCAGUUUAUGUUGCAUAAUGCUGAAGUUCCUCUGGUGAAGUGGCACAUCCUCCCAGCUUUGUUCGUAAUGGAAUCUUGCACAUCAGCCUAAACAAACACACAAAGGUUCAC
ensembl:lncRNA